rnacentral:rRNA from 1 species
CAGUCGAACGGUAACAGGUCUUCGGAUGCUGACGAGUGGCGAACGGGUGAGUAAUACAUCGGAACGUGCCCGAUCGUGGGGGAUAACGGAGCGAAAGCUUUGCUAAUACCGCAUAAGAUCUACGGAUGAAAGCAGGGGACCGCAAGGCCUUGCGCGAACGGAGCGGCCGAUGGCAGAUUAGGUAGUUGGUGGGGUAAAGGCUUACCAAGCCUACGAUCUGUAGCUGGUCUGAGAGGACGACCAGCCACACUGGGACUGAGACACGGCCCAGACUCCUACGGGAGGCAGCAGUGGGGAAUUUUGGACAAUGGGCGCAAGCCUGAUCCAGCCAUGCCGCGUGCAGGAUGAAGGCCUUCGGGUUGUAAACUGCUUUUGUACGGAACGAAAAGACUCCUUCUAAUAAAGGGGGUUCAUGACGGUACCGUAAGAAUAAGCACCGGCUAACUACGUGCCAGCAGCCGCGGUAAUACGUAGGGUGCGAGCGUUAAUCGGAAUUACUGGGCGUAAAGCGUGCGCAGGCGGCGAUGUAAGACAGAUGUGAAAUCCCCGGGCUCAACCUGGGAACUGCAUUUGUGACUGCAUCGCUGGAGUGCGGCAGAGGGGGAUGGAAUUCCGCGUGUAGCAGUGAAAUGCGUAGAUAUGCGGAGGAACACCGAUGGCGAAGGCAAUCCCCUGGGCCUGCACUGACGCUCAUGCACGAAAGCGUGGGGAGCAAACAGGAUUAGAUACCCUGGUAGUCCACGCCCUAAACGAUGUCAACUGGUUGUUGGGUCUUCACUGA